CGUGGGUGGGGAGGGAGGGCUAGGAGGAGCCUUAAAGGAGCCACUGCACAGGCCUCUGGCCAUUUUCCCCCGAGAGCGGCCUUGGAGAUGGCAGUGGCUCCCCUAAGCUGGGCGCUGUGGGGGCGAAUCCUGCCAUUCCUAGCUUCAGCUCAUCGGGGAACCGAAGGUGAAGCACGCCUGGGUCCGGGUGUGGGUCUCCAUCCCCCACUGUUUUAGGCCUCCGGGAGGUUUGAGCCGGUGUGCCACCUCCAGGGCCGACUCCACCUUGACGAUGCAGAUGUCAGACACAUCCUCGUCCUCAUCCUCAUCCUCUUCCUCCGCCUUCAGCUCCAGGUCCUCAUCCAGUGGGAACUCCAGCUUCACAGGCCGCAGCAGCGGAGGAGCUUGAUGGAGAUACCUCUUACCGGCCUCAGAGAUGUGACAUAUUCCGCUAUCUUGUUACGGAGCUUCUUCCUGGGAAUAAUGGUGAUCUCCUCGCACACGCACUUGUUGGUGUAGAAGUCGUCACCCAGCGUGUCUGAUUCUGAGCCACCGGGUCUGAAUGGGACCUGAAGGCCCAUUCCUAGGAGCUUUGGGCGAUGCCACUGCUGUCAGCCUGUGGACUGCACUUUGAGUAGAAGCAUCCGUAUAUCCCUCAGAGUGGGCCUGCCGGGUGGCGGGGUCUGCACACGGUCCCCUCCCCUGACCAAUGAUAAAGCAUUCUCGGAAGCAGUUGUACAGGUUUACACUCCUACCAUCGGUAGGACUGCUGCCGCCUGCGGAAAGGCCAGUAAAGGCUUCCUGGUUUUCAGUCGUCACCUCACUUGAGCUUUCUGCAGCCUGCGACACACUGGAUCACGCUUAUUUGACACACUGCUUUAUCCUGGUUUCUGUGACACCUCUUCCUUCUGUUCCCUUCCUUCUCCAACCUCAAUCUCUUAUAACCCCCCAUUCUCUGCCUUUUGUCCAUCUUUUAACUGUUGGUGUCCUUGCCCUUCUUGGCCUUUAUCACGUUCUCCCUGGGUGAUACCAUGUGCUUGCUCUUAAGAGGUUGGGUACCACCUUGUGACUAUGAUGGUUAAUUUUAUGCGUCAAGUUGGGUAGGCGGUGGUGCCCAGUUGUUUAGUCAAGCACUAGUCCAGGUGUUUCUGUGAAGGUAUUUUGUAGCUAUGAUUAACAUUACACUCAGUUGACUCUAAGUAAAGGAGAUUACUCUUGAUAAUGUGGAUGGUCCUCAUCUAAUCAGUUGAAGGCCUUAAGAGCCAAAACUGAGGUUUCCCAAAAGAUUUCUGCCUUAAGACUGUAACAGAAAUCUUGCCUCAGUUUCCAGCCUGCCAGCCUGCUCUACAAAUUCACACUCAAGACUAUGACAUCAACCCUUCCCUGAGUUUCCAGCCUGUUGGCUUGCCCUAUGGACUUUGGACUCACCAGCCCCUACAAUUGCAUGAGCCCAUUCCUUAAAAUAAAUCUCUUUAUAUACAGGCGCACCUUGCAGACAUUGUGGGUUCGGGUCCAGACCCCCACAAUAAAGUGAAUAUCGUAAUACAGUGAGUCACAAAAAAUAUUUGGUUUCCCAGUGCAUAUAAAAGUUAUGUUACA